UACGAAGGGGGCUAGCGUUGUUCGGAAUUACUGGGCGUAAAGCGCGCGCAGGCGGUUCUUCAAGUCAGAGGUGAAAGCCCAGAGCUCAACUCUGGAAUGGCCUUUGAGACUAGAGAACUUGGGUACGGGAGAGGUGAGUGGAAUUCCGAGUGUAGAGGUGAAAUUCGUAGAUAUUCGGAAGAACACCAGUGGCGAAGGCGGCUCACUGGACGACUGUUGACGCUGAGGUGCGAAAGCGUGGGGAGCAAACAGG
rnacentral:rRNA from 1 species